UUAUAGUUUCCUAUUCCUGGGCGGGACUUUAUUCAUACAAGGACACAGGUGCAAAUUGGUUUGCAACACAGAAUGAUAGUCCCAAGAACAGGAGAUUAUAAUAGGACAGUUUCACAAGGUUAGUCACAUACUCAGUUAUGUGGACACACAAACAAUUAACAUUUUCCAUUACAGAGUCUGAACAUUUUCAUUUCAUUAAAUCAUCAGUGGGCUACAAUGCAAAUGUCAACAAUGGAACUAAUGCAUCACAUCCAAAUAUCACUGUAUUAUCUGUAGUGCUGGAGGAAUGACACACCCAGAUAAACACAGUCAGAGUUUAAAAGCAGUGGUAAAGCUUCUCCCCUGUGUGGAGUCUCAUGUGUUUUAAUUUUUAAAAUGUUUAAUUUUACCUCCCUUUUUCUCCCCAAUAUCGUGGUAUCUAAUUGUUAGUAGCUACAAUCUUGUCUCAUCGCUACAACUCCCGUACGGGCUCGGGAAAGACGAAGGUCAAAGUCAUGCGUCCUCCGAUACACAACCCAACCAAAUCGCAGUGUUAAGCAGUGUUAAGGCUUCUCCCCUGUGUGUAUUUUCCCCUGUUGGUUCAGGUGUCCUUUCUGGUUAAAACUCUUUCCAGGACCUCAACUCUUUUCUAUUUUUACCAAUGACCAUACAGUUUUUAAAUUCCUGAUCAAUCCAUGGAGCCUUAACAGUUCUAACAGUCAGUUUCUUAACAGGUACAUGUUUAUCAAUAAUUGGAAGAAACAAUUUAAUAUGGUAAAAACAGGUAAACACAUUGUCAGUGUACAAUAUAAGACAACGGGAGCACUGUGUGUGUUCUCUGAUGAAUUUUAAGUCAAUGUGAUGUGAAAUAUCAAUAUACACGCUAAGAGAAGUCAUUCUCUCUCCUGUGUGGAUUCUCUAAAGACGUUUAAGUGACUGUUAUGAGUAAUAUGUUUUCUCACAGUCUGGCCUUUUCUAAGCAUUCUCCUCUGUGUUCUUUCAGGCUUCCUAAAUGGGCAAACGCUUUGCACACUGGGAGCAGUGGUAAAGCUUCUCCCCUGUGUGGAGUCUCAUGUGUUUUAAUUUUUAAAAUGUUUAAUUUUACCUCCCUUUUUCUCCCCAAUAUCGUGGUAUCUAAUUGUUAGUAGCUACAAUCUUGUCUCAUCGCUACAACUCCCGUACGGGCUCGGGAAAGACGAAGGUCAAAGUCAUGCGUCCUCCGAUACACAACCCAACCAAAUCGCAGUGUUAAGCAGUGUUAAGGCUUCUCCCCUGUGUGUAUUUUCCCCUGUUGGUUCAGGUGUCCUUUCUGGUUAAAACUCUUUCCAGGACCUCAACUCUUUUCUAUUUUUACCAAUGACCAUACAGUUUUUAAAUUCCUGAUCAAUCCAUGGAGCCUUAACAGUUCUAACAGUCAGUUUCUUAACAGGUACAUGUUUAUCAAUAAUUGGAAGAAACAAUUUAAUAUGGUAAAAACAGGUAAACACAUUGUCAGUGUACAAUAUAAGACAACGGGAGCACUGUGUGUGUUCUCUGAUGAAUUUUAAGUCAAUGUGAUGUGAAAUAUCAAUAUACACGCUAAGAGAAGUCAUUCUCUCUCCUGUGUGGAUUCUCUAAAGACGUUUAAGUGACUGUUAUGAGUAAUAUGUUUUCUCACAGUCUGGCCUUUUCUAAGCAUUCUCCUCUGUGUGCAGUCUCAUGUGUUGGGCAAAAGCUUUGCACCCUGGGAGGAGUGGAAAGGCUUCUCCCCUGUGUGUAUUCUCUCGUGUCGUUUCAGCCCCCCUGACCGGUUGAAACACUUUCCACACUGGGAGCAGUGGUAAGGCUUCUCACCUGUGUGUAUUCUCUGAUGAUGUUUCAGGUACCCUAAAUUGUUAAAACUCUUUCCACACUGGGAGCAGUGAUAAGGCUUCUCUCCUAUGUGUAUUCUCUCAUGUCGUUUCAGGUUCCCUAAAUUGUUAAAACUCUUUCCACACUGGGAGCAGUGGUAAGGCUUCUCUCCUGUGUGUAUUCUCUCAUGUUUUUUUAGCUCCCCUGAACAGACAAAACACUUUCCACAGUGGGAGCAGUGGUAAGGCUUCUCUCCUGUGUGUAUUCUCUCGUGUUGGUUCAGGCAUGCUUUCCGGUUGAAACUCUUUCCACACUGGGAGCAGUGGUAAGGCUUCUCUCCUGUGUGUAUUCUCUCAUGUUGUUUCAGAUCCCCUGGACAGACGAAACAACUUCCACAUUGGGAGCAGUGGUAAGGCUUCUCUCCUGUGUGUAUUCUCUCGUGUUGGUUCAGGUAUGUUUUCCGGUUGAAACUCUU
rnacentral:lncRNA from 13 species